GGAGGUGAGCUCUCAGUACUACUCCACACCAUGGCUUCCUUCCCAUUGUCACACUCCUCACCAUAACCACCAUGGCUUUUAACCCUUUAAAGUGUCAAGGUGAGGACAAGAGUUCUCACUUCCAACAGCCUUUUGAGAGAUGUCCAUUGUGAUGAUGUACAUCCCUGCUUGAAAGAGUCUACUCUGAAACUCAAGGAGACAGUUACAGUGCAUCAGUUCCCUCUCUCCCACAAGGUGGAGCUAAUCAGAAUCCUCUCAAGAAAGUUUUUCAGUUAUCUGCCUGCUGAAAGUAAGGCAGUCUUUGCAAAGUUUCAGAGGUUUAGCCCACUAUCAUCAUGGCGGGGAGCAUGGCGGCAUGCAAGCAGACAUGGUGCUGGUGAAGGAGCUGAGAGUUCUACAUCCAGAUCCAUAGGCAGCAGGAAGAGAGAGAUACUGGGCCUGCUUUUGGACUUUUGGAAGCUCAGAGCCAACUCCUAGUGACACACUUCCUCCAGCAAGUCCAAGCCUACUCCAACAAGGCCAUACUCCUAAUUCUCCUCAAGUAGUACCACUCUCAGAUGACUAAAUAGUCAAAUAUAUGAGCCUAUGGGGGCCAUUCUUCUUCAAACCACCACAGUACCUAAAGAUACUUAGCACUCAUAAGUGCAUGUCACAUUUGCACUUAUGAGAAAUGUAGAAUUUAAAUAUAAGGAUCUAUUGAGGAUGCAAAUAUCUGGGCUGAUUUGUGUUUACAGAAUAUUAUAGAAAAUUAUAAGAAAAGGAUUUUACAUAAAGAUGCUUCACAUCCUAAUGAAAUGUAUCUCUGGGACACUAGACUGCUGUUAUAUUUGACCAUUACAUGUAUUUUUUUCUCCACUUUCUUUUAAUGAGAGAUACAGGGCUCUGAAGAUGGUGUGAAUAUGUGUUCUAGAUCGGAAGUGUUAGAGGACUUCAUUCUUUAUGGACAAAUGAGCCCUGUAGAAUGAAGUUUCAGAUUAAGUCCAAUACAGAAUAUGUUUUCCUGAGUUGAGAAAGGAACUUUUGUUUUUGCUAUAAUUGCCAUACUCAGAGCAGUGGGUCUGAGGUCUUUGUUGUCCACUAGAUCCAGGUUCUAUGUUGAAGUGCCUGUACAGCUUGUUUAUAUCUUGUAGUUUUUCUAAGAUCUUUUCCAGUAAGACAACCAGUCUUGUUCUCUUGUGCAAGAUAAAUUGUGACUCUGACAUGUAUAAGUACUACAUUUAUUUCUCAAGUAUGCUGUGACAGGACUUAUCCUCAUAAAUGAAGAUAAAAAAUAUAAAUUGCACAAAUAUAAGGAUAUCUCCUGUCUCUGGUAAACUAAGACUGAUGUCAUGGAUCUGGGUCAGGUCUAGAACUGACUUUAUAUUUUAUGUUACAAAUGAAGAAGAAAGGAAGCCACACAUGUGGAGUCUUGGAAAUUCUUUAAAAUUUUUAUUACUAAAUUAUUAAGAUCAAACUUAAUGUGGUACAGGUCUAUCAGAGCAUAACUUAUACUUCUUCAGACAUAUUUUUAUGUUCACUCCAUCUUUCUUCAGAGACUACAACAAUUAAUAAAAGUGAGAAGGAAGGAGUUAGGAAAAAAGGGAGGAAAAGCAGAAGGAUAGGGGAGAGACAGAGAAACUUAUUGAUUCGUUGAUUGAUUAGAGCACCAUUACUUCUUUGGAUAUGUGUCUGAAGACCAAAUAAUUGACACAGAGGAGAGCAAGAGGGUAGCUAAUCCAUGCAAUUUUAUUAACUAUACACUUUUUUCUUAAAAAUUUUUGUCUUUUCCAUUCUCCCUUCUUCUUUUAUGUGAUAAAAGGCAGCAUAGUAUUUAUUUUGUGUAUUUAAGCAUUAUUCAACAUGGUUGCAAUCUUCACUAAAAUGACAAUAAAAUAUUAAUAAAUUAUCAAGGAUAGUUUGACUCUACAGUAUAGAUUAAUUAAAGAAUAUAAGUUCUGUAAAAUGUGUCUCUAUCAUUUCUACAGCUGCUUUUGUCUUCCAAGUCAUGUUAAAUGAAGGUAUGGAGAAAGAAAGGAAAGAAAACAGAAAAGAUAAGAAAGAAGCCGGCUUAUUAUUGAG